UACAGAGGGCGCGAGCGUUGUCCGGAAUCACUGGGCGUAAAGGGCGCGUAGGUGGCCACCAUAAGGCCGCGGUGAAAGUUCGGGGCUCAACCCCGGAUCGGCCGCGGCGACUGUGGGGCUCGGGUACUGUAGAGGCAGAUGGAAUUCCGGGUGUAGCGGUGGAAUGCGUAGAGAUCCGGAAGAACACCGGUGGCGAAGGCGGCCUGCUGGGCAGUAGCUGACGCUGAGGCGCGACAGCGUGGGGGAGCAAACAGG
rnacentral:rRNA from 1 species